ACAAAUAGCUUUUUAAAAGAAUUCUGAUAAACUGGUUCUUUAUAAACUGAUUCUGAGAUCUCUUUUCCAAGUAGGCAGAAUAAUAUCAAUGCAAGAAUUAUUGCAAUUUGCUGUCACCCUUUUUAUAUGUAUAUGGAUACUGGCAAGGUGUGAAUAGAUAAAAACAAAAGCAUGAGACAUUUGUUUUGAAUCUCUAUAUUAUUUAUUCUUUUGGAUACAAAUGUUGUUUUUGGAGUUCUUUAUUCACUCCAGAGAUUACUAUGCACCAGGCUUUGCGUUAGUCUGACUUUACUAAGAAAGGGGGCAGAAAAAAAGGGAUCUUUAAUAGCAUUGAUUAAAUAAGGCUUUUUCAUGGAGGUCACAAGAUAAAUCUUCCUGAAAAGCAGUAGUAAUCUAAGCAAAGAAAGCAUGGUCAUCAUUUUCAAUAGCACUAUGUUGGGAUGUCACAUUGGCAAGCCACAAUGAACCACACCAUCCUUUAUUCACUCCCUUCUGUAGUCCUUCCCACGUUGAUCUGACCUUAGCUACAUGGCUUCUAACUGUGACCAGUGAGGUCUUAGCAAAGUAAUAUAACCAAAAAUUUAUAUUCACUGCUUUGGAAGUUUCCGUCCCCAUCCAAAUUCGUGUGUAAUCCUUAAGCUUUCUCUCUCUGCAUGCAAACACCAAGGAAAGGCCAUCUGAGGGUGGAGAAAGAAUACAGCCAUCUGCAAGCCAGGAAGAGAGAGCUCUCAGCAGCAAAUGGAUUGGCUGGAACCUUGAUCUUGGACUUCAAGCCUCCAGAACUGACUAUUGAAAAAUGCACUUUAGAAGUUCUGAAAGCAAAACUAAAUUAUUCUUGGCAUGUAAUGGCUCAAUUGUAAGACAUAUAUCAUUACCAAAAACACUGAAAUAAAAAGACCAAGGUGUUCCCAACACAGAAGCUACCAGCACUGGUCCACCUGCUGUCCCAGCCAUGCUGUCCCAAAUGCAAAUAUUUCCUGAGUUCCAAUUCUGUGAGACACUGUUCUGGCCACCGGACUACAGGAAGGAACAAAAAUCAAUCUUCUCUUAUGGGACGUAAGUUUACUGAGAAAGAUAGAUAACAGAUUAAUUCUCCAACUCUCAUUGCAUCAUAACUGACUCAACAUAUGUGCAUUUUCAGACUCACAGCCAAUGCCGAGCUAACUGUAAUUAGAGAUCUGACAUUAUGUAGGGUUGACUCAUCUUAUGGUUGCCUGAAACCCUGUGUGGACAGUUAGGUGUUGGGUAUGUUAUUCUAUAACUCUUUAUGUAAAACUUGAGCUACUGAGCUACUUAAGCAACCAGUUUCUAUAUUUGUUUUCUGUAAUAAACUGUGAAAUGAGCUGGUUCAUUGUUCAUUUUUCACAUAUUCAAACAUAAAAUGAGAAUGCAUUCUUAUGACAGCAUUUGUUCAUUUUUCUAUAUGGGAGAAUGAACUGUUUCAUUACUUAUCAUUAGCAGCCUAUUUAUAUAAUAGGGUGGUGAAAAAAUAAUGUCAAAACCAAUUGGACUUGUAGGACAGUUUUGGAUUUAUAGAGUGCAAUUAAUCAAAUAUGUGAUGACACUAUGGUAAUAAUCCUGCUCUGGAAAAGUACUGAAGAAUCUGUAAAGGGUCAGAGGUGCGGUUUUGUAUUUUCUUCUAAAGAAGAUUGUCUAUUCAGCAAAAUGAAAUUGAAUUUCUAAUUACUCAGUUGGAAUAAAAAUUAACUCCUAAAACAAACUACUGUUAAACAACUUGUAAUCUUAUCCACAAUGCAUGCUAAAAAGUUCUUUGAAGCAUUUGUGAUUACUGCUUAGUAAUCAAAUAUAUCUUCUGCAUUCCAAUUUGACUUAAUUCAUGAUGUUUAAUAAACCAUCAAAAUUUUAUAAAAGGACUUCAUUUCACCAUACAUUUCUGUAUUUUUACUAAGUCUGUAAUAGUUUAUGUGUACUUUUACAGGUGGUAAUUAUAAAUUAUUGGGAAGCUGGGUCUUUGGCUUUUCACAUCAAAUCUUAUGAAAUGGCAAGUCUGAAGAUAUAAUGGGAGCAUUAAUUAAAUGUAAUUCCUGAGUAUUUCCCCUUCGGGUUGAUAUUUUCUCAGUGAUAGAGACAUCAAAGCAAAUUAGAUUUCUUCAUUUCCCAGUACAACAUAUGAUCUCCUUAACAUAUCAUCAUCUUCAAAGCCAUCGUGCUUGUUAAACAUGGUGCAUUCACUAUUUACAAAGUUUUAUUAAGGCUCUCACUUUUGCUUCUCCUAAAAAACUCUACUGGAGGGUGCCUGGUUGGCUCA